rnacentral:rRNA from 1 species
GACAUAGGUGGCAAACGUUAUCCGGAAUUAUUGGGCGUAAAGGGUGCGUAGGCGGUUCAAUAAGUUACUGGUGGCAAAUCGGGGCCCAACCCCGUGGAAGUCGGUAAUACUAUUAAACUAGAGGAUCGGAGAGGUUAACGGAAUUCUAUGUGUAGCGGUAAAAUGCUCAAAUAUAUAGAGGAACACCAAACGGCGAAGGCAGUUAACUAUUCGGUGCCUGACGUUGAGGCACGAAAGCGUGGGGAGCAAGACGG